rnacentral:rRNA from 1 species
UGGGGAAUAUUGGGCAAUGGGCGCAAGCCUGACCCAGCCAUGCCGCGUGAGUGAUGAAGGUCUUCGGAUCGUAAAGCUCUGUGGGAAGGGACGAAAAAACAGGGGCUAAUACCUCCUGGCUUGACGGUACCUUCUUAGCAAGCACCGGCUAACUCCGUGCCAGCAGCCGCGGUAAUACGGAGGGUGCAAACGUUGCUCGGAAUCAUUGGGCGUAAAGCGCACGUAGGCGGUUCGUUAUGUCGGAUGUGAAAGCCCUCGGCUCAACCGAGGAAGGGCAUCCGAAACUGGCGUGCUUGAGUAUGGAAGAGGGUCUCGGAAUUCCCGGUGUAGAGGUGAAAUUCGUAGAUAUCGGGAGGAACACCAGUGGCGAAGGCGGAGACCUGGGCCAAUACUGACGCUGAGGUGCGAAAGCGUGGGGAGCAAACAG